UUUACUGGUCAUAACUUGCCAAUGGGAACUCCAAAUCACAUUGAAGCACCACCAGUGCGUUGGGGAGAAUUUUCCACGUGAUCCGGUGUGGUGUGGGUUUCUGAGCUGCAAGAUGUGUAAGUGUUUGAAAGGCUAUUGCGCCGCAGUAUGUGGUGCAGGAGUCUUUCUCUCUCGAAUUGAUUGAAAACUUUCCUAUUUCUUGAAUAAGUUUGUUUCUUGGUUUGGAAAGUUCUCUGCAUCUCUAUAAAAUGGCCUUAAGGCCAUACCUUGAUCUUUAUCCUUGUGUUCUCAACUCCCUUAAUCUUUUACUUUAAGCACCUUUAUCUCCAACCUUCAUUAUUGAGCUUUGCCUUCAUGUCUUCCAGGAAGCGUACUAUUAUCAUUAAUGAUUCUGAUUUGGAGGCUUAGUCCUUCUCAAAGUAUAAAAUUUUCGCUUGUACCGCUUGUAAGCCUCAUUCAUCACCAUCUUCAUCUUCUUAUGCUUCGUCAUCGUCAUCAUUUUCUUCGUCUAAUGGAUGGGGAUAUGUGGAUCGCAAGAACGACGACAUCUUAGACUAUCUCCUUAACUUUGCAAACAAGCAGACUGAAAGUCUUACCACUAUUAAAGAUCAUUUUCUAGGCAAAAUAAGGUCCAUAGAGCUUCUUGAAAGCUAACUCGAUCUUAAAGACUACAUGAUUGCUUCAAGGGAUACCGAGCUUCCUGCUGAGGAUGGAGAGAUCGCGCAUCUCAGAGAGGAACUUAAGGAGGCUUGUAAAAACUGUGCUUCCAUAAGAAGAGGGCUUCGAGCUCUUCAUCCACUUAAACAGAGUUUUUCACUUUUGUUUUGCUUUUUUACUUUGUUGCUCUGAAUGUUGGCAACGAUCCAAAAUAAGGUCGUAGCCUUUAGGAUUUUCACCUUCUUCUCUUCUUUAUUUCUGUCCGGAUCAUCGUAAGGUCUCAAAGACCAUUUUGAUGUAAUAAUCCCGGCAUUCUUGCAGAUUUGGAAAUUAAUGGAACUUGGAUUUUCAAUUAUUUUGAAAUAAACUUAAGGAGGUUGCUUCUAUCUAAGUACACAUCGGAUAAUUGGACGCCCCAGUAGUGGGUGUAAUCAAGAGGUAGACAAUUGGGGUUCAGCUUCAUGGGCUUAUGGAGUUCUAGAAUCCCAAAUUCACGAGCUAAUGCGAGCUUGUUUCGGUUUGUUUUUCUAUAAAAG
rnacentral:lncRNA from 1 species